rnacentral:rRNA from 1 species
UACGUAGGGUGCAAGCGUUGUCCGGAAUUAUUGGGCGUAAAGGGCUCGUAGGCGGUCCAUCGCGUCGGGAGUGAAAAGCUGGGGCUUAACCCCAGUCCUGCUUCCGAUACGGGUGGACUAGAGGUAUGCAGGGGAGAAUGGAAUUCCUGGUGUAGCGGUGAAAUGCGCAGAUAUCAGGAGGAACACCAGUGGCGAAGGCGGCUCACUGGCCCGGUACUGACGCUGAGACGCGAAAGCGUGGGGAGCAAACAGG